GAGGGUAGAGCUCAGUGGUAGAGCACGUGAUUAGCAUGCACGGGGUCCUGGGUUCAUUCCCUGAUACCUCUG
rnacentral:tRNA from 1 species